GACAGAGGGGGCAAGCGUUGCUCGGAAUUACUGGGCGUAAAGGGCGCGUAGGCGGGAUGGCAAGUCGGUCGUGAAAUCCCUCGGCUCAACUGAGGAUCGUCGAUCGAUACUGCCGUUCUUGAGGAUUGCAGAGGAGACUGGAAUUCCCGGUGUAGCGGUGAAAUGUGUAGAGAUCGGGAGGAACACCGGUGGCGAAGGCGGAUCUCUGGGCAAUUCCUGACGCUGAGGCGCGAAAGCGUGGGGAGCAAACGGG
rnacentral:rRNA from 1 species